UGACGGAGCAUCCCCUAACGACAAACACUCCCAUUUCGAUUCCUUGAAAAAGGCCCAAAACGGGUCGAAACGUCGGAUGAAGAGAA